AGGGAACCUUUUCUUCAAUCUUCUUGAUCCCACAACUUGCUGCGCCAGUAGGAAAUAAAUGUGUCCUUCCCUAGGGGGAUUUACGGAGCUCUGGCCCCACCCUGUAUGACCCUCUUUCAAGUCCUGCUUCUUGCCAGCCCUGGGCCUUGUUGGGUAACUGGCUGGGCUGCACCGAGGCCUGAGACAAGUUCUCCUACCAUUACUGUUUGGCCCCACACCCUGGCUGGCUCCACUGUCCCCAAGGCUCUGUGACGCGGCCACCGGUGGCCUGUCUCACAGCCAUCACUUCGUUCCUUGCUAAGAUAACCCAGUUUUGUUCAGGAACUUGUGGUUCUGUGGCUCGGGGUGUGGGGCUCACUCAGCCCCUCGCGCGCUAUGAACAAAUAGAGACAGACACAUGCUCAGGAACUGGCUGAGAUGAUGCCUUCACACGGAUGGAUGGAAUACCCACAAGAUGAAAAAUGUCUGGAGCAAAAACCUUACCUGAACUCCAGUAGAAGGUGCUCUUCGGCUUGAUGACAUUCCUGUCUGAGUACAGCACCCACACUUCCAGAUCUGCAGUGGAGGGAGUCAGUGAAGAGCUGACCAGCGCGGGGCUGACCUGCUCACACCGGGCACUUGCACGCACCUCCACCUUUAGACUGCUCACCAUCACAGGGCCGCUUUCUGACCACUCAGGGAGAGUGAGGCGGAGACAAAUCUUUACCCUGCCUGAGACCAGAUUCAGUCUUCGCUCCCUGGAUGCAAUUGUUCUGAGGGCCACAUUCCUCUGCUCACUUGUUUGAUGGAGCAAGAACAGAUCAUCUAAGGAUGCUGGAAAGGUUAAGGACCUUCCUGGAGGGCACUCGCUGUGUAUCUCUGGUUAGGUUGGCGGUGACAUUCACUCUGAGAUGGCAUGAUCAGUAAACACACCACUUGGGGUGGGUGUUUUUGAGAACGUGUGUACAGCAGAUUCAAAUGACUGUCCUAGGCUCUGGGACCCCAAAAGCAAGUGUCCUUGAAAAUGACUCAGGUGCUUAGAUCUACAUAUGUGACACUGUGCUGAGUGUCCCUGUACAGGCCUGUACAUGGCUUUAAAGUAGUACAUGGCAGAUGUGGCAUAGA
rnacentral:lncRNA from 10 species